rnacentral:rRNA from 1 species
AGAGUUGAUCAUGGCUCAGGAUGAACGCUAGCGGCAGGCCUAACACAUGCAAGUCGCGGGGCAGCACGGGUAGCAAUACCUGGUGGCGACCGGCGCACGGGUGCGUAACGCGUAUGCAACCUGCCCCCAUCAGGGGAAUAGCCCGCCGAAAGGCGGAUUAAUGCCCCAUAGGCCCAGGGCGCCGCAUGGCGCUAUGGGUAAAGCUCCGGCGGAUGGGGAUGGGCAUGCGUGCCAUUAGCUAGUUGGGGCGGUAACGGCGCACCAAGGCGACGAUGGCUAGGGGGUCUGAGAGGAUGGUCCCCCACACUGGUACUGAGACACGGACCAGACUCCUACGGGAGGCAGCAGUGAGGAAUAUUGGUCAAUGGGCGGAAGCCUGAACCAGCCAUGCCGCGUGCAGGAUGACGGCCCUACGGGUUGUAAACUGCCUUUUCCCCGGGAAGAAUAAGCCCCUCGUGGAGGGGUGAUGCCGGUACCGGGGGAAUAAGGAUCGGCUAACUCCGUGCCAGCAGCGGC